GUCGAGGGUCCAGGGUCAAGGGUCUGGGGUUGAGCAUCCGGGGUUGGGCCCCAGGGUUGGGGCUUGGGGUUGGGGCUCAGGGUUGGGGCUCGGG